rnacentral:lncRNA from 1 species
UUUGUAUAAACCCCUCCCUCUGAAUGUGGGCAGGGCCUGUGACUCGCUUCUAACUAACAGAACUGGCAAACGUGGUGAGGCAUCACUCUCAUGAUUACAUUAUGUUGUAGAAGACUUGGCCUUGCCAGCUAACUCUAGAAAUUCUCUUUGCUAAAGCAGGCAGUCAUGCUAGAAAAGCCCACAUGGCAAGGAACUGCAAGCAGCCUCUAGGAACUGUGGGUGACCUCCCACCAACAUCCAGCAAAAAGCCCAGGCCCUCAGUCCCACAACUGCAAGAAAAUCAAUUCUGCCAACCACAGGAAUUUGGACGCCAAUUCCUCCCCUGCCAAGCCUCCAGAGGAGAACACAACCCGGUCAAUAUCUUCACGGCAGCAGCCUAAGACCCUAAGCAGAGAACCCAGGCACCUCCACUGGACUCUGCUGUUUUUCUGAGGAGGCGCAGCACUGCCCUCCACUUCCUUCUACCCAUGCCUCUCUUCCCCAGUUUAAAAUGGCCGGAAGCUUUAUAUGAUAACUAAAAUCUCACUUAAUCCUGAACAAAGGCUGAUGGAGGGGAGCAAGUCGGAGUGGAAGGAGGGGAGAGGACUGGAUUUGCUUCUAAAAUCAGCCGUCCGGGGUUUCUGGAGCCCUGGAACAUUGAAAGCUUCUUCCACAUCUGCAAGACUUCAUCCUGACACACCACUGCCUGCCCCAUCUUUCAGGACUAGUGGUAAAAGCACCACAGCUACCUACAAACACAUCACCGCAUCCUAAUUACAGGCCGACACUGGAGGUCAGGGGUUUCCAAAGCCCCUCUGCUGCACCAUGCUGCAAGGGACAGCAGGGGGCGCACUACUCUCGGUCCAGGAGACAGGACUCCUUGUCUACCAGCCUAAAUCUCAGCACAAAGCCUGCCACAUGGCAGGAUGCUGUGGUCUGAAUGCUGGUGUCCCCCAAAAUUCACAUGUUGAAACAUAAUCCCCAGUGUGGUAGUAUUAAGAGAUAGGGACUUUGGGGGAGUGAUUAAAUCACAACGGCUCGUCCUCAUGAAUGGGAUUAGUGCCUUUGUAAAGGAGAUUGAGGCCAGGUGUGGUGGCUGACACCUGUAAU